rnacentral:rRNA from 1 species
UACGUAGGGGGCAAGCGCUGUCCGGAAUCAUUGGGCGUAAAGCGCGUGUAGGCGGCUCGAUAAGUCUGCUGUGAAAGUCCAGGGCUCAACCCUGGGAUGCCGGUGGAUACUGUCGAGCUCGAGUCCGGAAGAGGAGUGUGGAAUUCCUGGUGUAGCGGUGAAAUGCGCAGAUAUCAGGAGGAACACCAAUGGCGAAGGCAGCACUCUGGGACGUGACUGACGCUGAGACGCGAAAGCGUGGGGAGCAAACAGG